GCCCUUCGGGGUGGAUCAGUGGCGAACGGGUGAGUAACACGUGGGCAAUCUGCCCUGCAUUCUGGGACAAGCCUUGGAAACGAGGUCUAAUACCGGAUACGACGCAUCCCCGCAUGGGGUGUGCGUGGAAAGCUCCGGCGAUGCAGGAUGAGCCCGCGGCCUAUCAGCUUGUUGGUGGGGUAAUGGCCUACCAAGGCGACGACGGGUAGCCGGCCUGAGAGGGCGACCGGCCACACUGGGACUGAGACACGGCCCAGACUCCUACGGGAGGCAGCAGUGGGGAAUAUUGCACAAUGGGCGAAAGCCUGAUGCAGCGACGCCGCGUGAGGGAUGACGGCCUUCGGGUUGUAAACCUCUUUCAGCAGGGAAGAAGCGCAAGUGACGGUACCUGCAGAAGAAGCACCGGCUAACUACGUGCCAGCAGCCGCGGUAAUACGUAGGGUGCGAGCGUUGUCCGGAAUUAUUGGGCGUAAAGAGCUCGUAGGCGGCCUGUCACGUCGGAUGUGAAAGCCCGGGGCUUAACUCCGGGUCUGCAUUCGAUACGGGCAGGCUAGAGUGUGGUAGGGGAGAUCGGAAUUCCUGGUGUAGCGGUGAAAUGCGCAGAUAUCAGGAGGAACACCGGUGGCGAAGGCGGAUCUCUGGGCCAUUACUGACGCUGAGGAGCGAAAGCGUGGGGAGCGAACAGGAUUAGAUACCCUGGUAGUCCACGCCGUA
rnacentral:rRNA from 1 species